rnacentral:rRNA from 1 species
UACAGAGGGUGCGAGCGUUAAUCGGAAUUACUGGGCGUAAAGCGUGCGUAGACGGUUAUUUAAGUCGGGUGUGAAAGCCCCGGGCUCAACCUGGGAAUUGCAUUCGAGACUGAAUAGCUAGGGUACGGUAGAGGGAAGUGGAAUUUCCGGUGUAGCGGUGAAAUGCGUAGAUAUCGGGAGGAACAUCAGUGGCGAAAGCGACUUCCUGGACCAGUACCGACGUUCAGGCACGAAAGCGUGGGGAGCAAACAGG